UGGGACUCAGCCAACGUCGAGGAAUGGUUGUGUUGUCAGAGGUGAAAUGUGUUUGUGUGUGUGACAAUAAAUAGCCUUGGCGGUCUCGGUAAGAUGCCUUCGCGGGGUAUCCCCGAGAAUGGAUUUUUGGCAAGGGCUAAGUUUUUGAAAAGUACAUAAGCCAUGUUGAGUAAUUGGAUGAAAUCCAAUUAUUUAUAUGGGUUGGAAUGAAUUAUUUUAAUUGUCUUCUAUUACUCGAUUUUAGAUUAUUUUGAUGAUGUCUGUCUACUCACUGGGAUUUUAUAAUCUCACCCCUUCUUCCUAUACAUUUUUCAGGCUCAG
rnacentral:lncRNA from 1 species